GUCCUUUUUUGUAUAGAUUUAUUGAUUCAUACUGAUUAGUUCACUUGGAAUAAAGCAAAAGCAAAAGCUUUUGUUUUUCUCCAUUUUUAAUCUAUAUCCAAACUGACCCUUUAUACACUGAUAUAAAUAUCUGUGUAUUUGGGUGUCAGGUCACAGGAUAGUCUGAAAUAAAUGUUUCCACUUUUGUCCCUCAGGUGCCCCCUUGUGGCCACCUUAAGUCCUUGCACUGAAGUUUCCAGAGAGAAACAGGAGCAGCAGGUGUGAUGAACCAAAGAUGAAAUCUCAGGUAAGGGAGACAGAUGCACACAACAACACAUUCAGCUGUCGGGUUUCAAAAUAAAGCAUGAACCUUUAAAAUCAGCCAUUGAAAAGUAAAACAGUUGGAACAUGAGUUUUGAGUGGAGUUUAAAUACAUUUGUUAAUGAAGAAUCAACAUGUUGACUUGGUUUUUUUUACUGUUUUAAGAAUUUAUUUCAGAUUGUAUUUUUAGUAUAUACAGGCACAUUAUGCAUGUGUUGGAUUUGACUGUGCAGACACCAAAAGGGCCCCGUUUAAAUCAUCCAAGACUUUUUGCCUUCACCUGGAGAGGACAGGAUAGUGAACAGGGACAGAGAGCACUUGGAUUCCCUGUACCUGUCCAUGUGGGAGGGAAGCUACAGGCUGGGCCGGUGGUGUGAGGCAUAACCUGUGUAUAUGGGGUGAUGUGUAGUCUGCUUGGCCAACAGACCAAAAUGCUUUGGUGCUGUGCUAGCCUGCCAUUACCAAACCUAUUCUCUUUGGUGAACAAGUCUGGAAACUCUCCAUUCAUUCCAUUUAUCAGAGGGCAUCAGCAACGGUCAUGUACGAAAGUGCAAAUGACUGUACUUUGACAUCGCCGCCAUAUUGCAGAGGGCAGUCUGGAAAGAUGCCAAUUCAUGUGAUGCAAAAACCUCCUACUGGCUGUUGUGAAAUGAUCAUGCUGGUCUAAUCUUGACUUAUAAGUGUUAGCAUAGCUUCCUGCCAAUAUUCAGCAAAUGUGCGUAUAAGUACUGUGUCACUACAGUCAUAUGGUUUCACUGUAAACCCUAUUCUGCCUAAACAGUGUAAAACAGUAAGCUGUGUCUGCAUUUGUCCUCAUAUGGUAUCAUGAGGACGUGUCAGGGAGGAUUUGAAAUGUUUUCUUCUACCUGUACAUGGAUGUGAGGAAAGAUCAGACCAGCAGGCCUGUGGUGUGGUGGUUUGGACUGCUACCUAAAAAUGAUCCUGCAUUCAAAUCACUCUGAGUUUGCUGAAGUAGACCUGGUUCCAGUCUCACCCUAGCUGAGUCCAUGUUCGGGUCUUUUAGUUUUCCAGUGUAUUUCAGCACUUCUACUGCAGAGGAACCAAACAGUAACCUCACUUGCUUAUGCCCAAAGUUGACAAUGUAAAGCUUCUCUGUGUUACCAGUUUUUGCAACCAAUAGCUUGCACCCUUAGACUGUGUUUGAAUCUCACCUUUGUCCCUCCAGUUUUUCCAUUCUUGCAUGGAAAUAUUCUUCUUUUCCUACAGUUUCAUUUGCAGUAUCAGAGAUUUAACCCCAGAAAAUCACGAGACAUGCUGAUGGAGAUCUUUAUGGAGGAAUUAAAAGCAAAAAUUAUCUUAAGUGUAGAGUACAGGAGGUUUUUAUAUGCAGCUUUGUACUAUUUGUGUUUCUCUUGGAAUGACUUGCACUGUGUUUGACCACGUUUACUCCACUGAAGACCAUGUUCACCUCUUUCUCCUGUAGGUGGCAGCACAGGCUUUUAGAUAGAUCAUGAUGCUGUGUAUGAGAUAGAAAACUCUUUUCAGAUAUUGUAAGAUAUGCCACGUUAACUUAAAAGUAAAAAUUGGCAACUUGUCUGAUUGGAAAGUUUGUUUUUAAAAUCUCUUAAAGUAGUUGGACAAAUCUCAGGAAAUGCGUUGGCAGAUUCUGUUUUCCUGAUUUGUAAUGUAGCACUUAAAACCACAAGAUGGAGCUGCUCUCCUUUUAAAUUUCAGCAUUAAGCCCACUUAAAAUCACACAAAGCUGUAAUUUUACAAAGGAACAGUGGGUGUGUUUUAAACUGGGCGACAGAAAUGAGAAUUAAAACAGUCAAAAAUAUGCAAAGAAAUGACUUCCUGUCUCUCUGAGUUGUAUUUCAGUGGUUGUAUAAAGGAUUUUGAGGAGCAUAGCGAGGGAAAACUGUUCCCAUUUGAAACCCUUUAGGACAGGUCUGUAAAAGUAGGUUAAUGAGUCACAACAAUUCAGGUGCAGACAUCAUGUUCAGCCAGCGGGCCCACAAAAGACUCAUGUCAGCAAGAGAGAAGCACUCAGGAUGAAUGUUCACUGAUAUGAGCACUACUGAUUAAAAGCUUUCUGUUUGGGGUCUCUAUACAUUUCAGGAUGAUAUAAUCCACCAAGAAUACAGUUAUACAUCUGCAGGUAUGAAGUUCAUCUACAUACACAUUCAUAUCUUGUAAUCCAACGGAAUAAAACAAUAUUUUGAUCUUUUAGCACAAACAUCUAUGGACUCAGACAGAAAAGGACAGUUUACAGUCAUAAUCUAAACUAAAAAGAGGGAAUAUGCCAAAUCAAAAUAUACUGAAAGUUCUGAGUUUCUUUAAAAUACAGUCCAAAUCGUGGAUUUUAACACAGUCUGACAUCUGAUGAGUACAAAAGAGUUUCAGGGUUAAGGAGAAAGAAUCAAAUGAAAGGAGGAAGAUUUCUUUGUCAUUAUGUGCUUCAAGAGUAAAGUAAAAAUGUUGAGAAUAAAGUUGAAUUUUUAAGAAAAGAGAUUAAAUUUAACUUUGGGCAAACAGUUUAACGCAACACAUGACAUUAUCACAGAGUUUUGACUUUUUUUCUCAACAAUUUGACUUUUAUCUCAAAACUGUCUGUCCUACUUCUAAUAUAAGCUUUAUUCAUUACUCUGAGUUUUCUUAGAAGCUACUUUUAGUGGGGAUCUUUGGGUGGUACCUACUGUGGUCUAUCACAUCCCAGCAUCUGACAACAUCAGGCGGUACAAAAGCACGGCCGUUAUAUAUUCACGUCUCCCUCUUAGUAAAACCAAAGCAUGCAGAAUAAUUCAUGUAAAACCAUUUUGAACAUUUAUUGCAUUAAAUUCAGAUCAUUACCAUGUGAUUAGUGUAAAUGCUCAUGAUGGGGUGUUGACAAAAUUGGGGUCAAUUGUAUAACUGCUAAGUCAAACUGGCACAGCGUGUAUGAGUUAUUUAAAGUAGGUCAACUGGGCUUAUAGGUGACGUGCGAUUGAAUAUUUGCAGUCUGAGCACAGGUUAAUCCAACAUGUCUAUUAUUCUAUUAUUCUGUUAUUUGUUUUGGGAUUUUUCAGAUAAAGUCAGGUCAGGAUCUGUUGAGUAGUGUGAUGCUUUUGUCUGCUAAGCCCACCAAGACAAUCCAAGGCCUGUACAAAUAAAUGACUUGACAUGUCUCCGCUGCUCUUGACCCACUUCACUUGGAGCCCCAUGCCAGUCAUCAUUUUUGUGUUUCCAUGGCAAUGUAAGGAGAUGCAGUGCAAUACCAUGGCAACAACAGAUCUUGUGGAACAAAAAAUUGAGCUCCCUGUUGGGCAUACACCUGUGUGUGUGUGUGUGUGUGUGUGUGUGUGUGUGUGUGUGUGUGUGUGUGUGUGUGUGUGUGUGUGUGUGUGUGUGUGUCCAUUAUAAUACAGGGCUGCACUUUGCAGUUAUGAUGGUAAGGAGAUCAUGAGACUGGUCUGGCUGUUGAAAAUCACAGCUCAGACUGCCGUGUGAGGCUUUACAUGACCAUCUCACAUGAAAGUUCCAAGUCAGGAUUUGAACCCAGAACCAUUUUAAGGCAGCAGUGCUUCAGGUCUGCUUGCCUUUCUUGGUCUUUUGGUUAAACCAUGCCAUUACUAUAAUUUAGAACACAGUGUGGAGAAAUGAUUUGUUCCUGUAUCGUGUGGAAAACGCCUCUUCAGGAGUUGAACCAAGAACCUUUUUACUCAAAGGCAGCAAUGCUAACCCCUUGACCCCAGUCUGUAUAACAGUGCUUGCUUUAUUUGGCGCCUUCUAUUCAACACUUCUUUAUGAUUGCUCAAAAGCACAGCCUAGGCUCUUCAGACACUUAUAUUGGUUUUAUACUCUGAACCUUUCAGCUGUGAACUGGAAAUCUAAAUCAAUGAAACACAGUCGGCCUUACAUUUCUCCCCUCUUAGUUGUUAUAACUUUCCUGUCAGUUUGGAGCAGUGUGAUCCAUACUCUAAAAACCACUUAAAUAAGGUAUUACUAUGUCAGGCUAGAUUAAUUACCUUUAUCUGUUUUUCAUUAUAUUGUGGUAAUUCAAAAGCACAGUCAAGACAGCUGUGGUACAAAACCAGAAUAUAUUCACUACACAAAGAAAGUUUUCCACCAGACUGUGAACCGAUGGUGUGUCCCAAAUCGCAUACUUCCAGUACUAAAUACGUAAAAUCUUGAGUAUACUCAAUGCAAAAUGGAAAAAAGUUUUUUUUACUGUUUAGUAGUUUGACUUGUCUACAGUCAUCUUAACGUUAAAUAACGAUUUUGCAAAAUAGAUCACAAAUAAACUACAUACCGCUGCAUCUUCAGCCAGUAGAAGGAGGAGAAAGCGUUGUUGGCGCCGAUUGAGAUGUAAAAAGCAAUGAACAUUCAUUUUGUUGCUGAUUUUACCUCAAAAGUGGAUGAAUGAGCGCAGGCAAAAGGUGGCGGUAGUUAGCUAAUGCAGAGCUAGCCAAUGACAAAUUGGCGUAGAUGAAAAAAUCGCAGCGUCAUUUCCAGUGAGACGCACGGCAACACUGCACCCUCGAAACUCAAUCACUAUGCGAUUGAGUACAUAGUAUGCUUAGAAAACUCAAUUUGAAAAAUUUAAGUAUUCAGUAUGGAAGUAUGCGGUUUGGGACACACCUCUACAAUCUGCUAGCCACGAGGCGUCAGUGCUUACUACCACACUUCACAUUUUGCAGUGCUCACUUUCACAGGUUUAUGACCUUUUUAUUAUACAAAAGCCUGGUGUACAUUCCAGUGGUAGGAUCCAAACCAUCUCCGCAUGACUGGGUCACUGCUGGGACGACACACGACUUUAAUAUGGUUAGAAAUCAAUGCUAAUCGCUUCACUGAGGUGCCAGUAUGCAGGAUUUGUUCAGGGUUAUACCGUCUGGAACAUCAUGGUGAUUUAAAUGCUUGUUCUGUCCUCCAAUGGUGGGACCCGGGACUUCCUAGCUCUACAUGAAUAGGUCCCUGCCAGGGUCAGAACAUUGAGAGGAAAAAAUCUUGCUUUUCAUUUCGGGUUUAUUGAGGGUCGUUUCUUCCACUGGGACCCAUGAUAGUCACUCCCACUUGUCUCCCGUACCGUCAUGGCAUUAUUAGCUGAUGGUUAAUGUUUCACCACACAGACUGAGUGGGAUUUCCAUGAACAGUGGAUUUACCUCUUACUGAGCACCGCAUCUAUAAAACAUUGGCAUGUGCACAAUUUGCUGUUGUUUAAUACAUUACCCUCUUCAAGCAGCUGGGACAUGUUGCACUAUAAUCCUCCUCACCACUUAGCCUAUUCGAAAAAACAAUGGACAGCAGCCAACAUUGCAGCAAUAAUACAACAUUAAAAUGCAGCACGUAUAAAUUAUGGCUGAGGAUCCUGCAACAGCGGCCACCGUGGGUCCCAUCUGGCGCAGAGAAGUCAUGACAUAACAUUGAUUUAGAGGCAUUUUUAUUGACAGUUGCCCCUUCCUCAUUCUGCGUAGUGGCGUUGCAUGAGCGGUUAAUUGCAUCACCACCACCUGAGUCCAUCUGCAAAUCAGCUCUCAGUGACAAGGGGUGGGAUUACACUGGGAGCUAAAAUCUGAUUUAACAUGACCCUGUUUUGACUAAUAUGUGAUAUUAGCCCUGUUAUCGUAAUAUGAAAAACCUACACUGAGUCUGUGAGCGGCUUGUAAAUGUGUAGAUUUAUGGAAAUUGAAGUGCAAAGAUCAUAUUUUUAUUUGAUAGAACAGCCCACUGGUGGAUAUUUUCCAAGGCCGGCAGAAUCAUACACACUGUUGGUUUCAAGCUCAUUUAUAAUUUAAAUGUAUAACACCAUUUCUGAAAAGACUGGGACGACGUGUCGUGCAAAAGACAAUAUACGAACUAUUGAAACACUUGAUAGUUUUAUAAAGUUUGAUUUUUCUAACACAUUUAAAGUAAGUUAAGACAGGGGCAUGUUUAUGAUGUCGCCAUGCAUUACCUCUUCUUUAACCAAUACUCUGUUGAGGUUUGAAAUCCCAGGUGACCAGUUUCCCAGGGUCUCCUUUGUUGUAUCUUUAAUUCAUGAUGCACCAGAUGUCUUUAACAGUCUACCGCAUGGUACACUUUGUUGAUGAAGUGGUGAAUUGUGUCCAUCUACACAACAGUUUUUGGGAGUGGUUUUUAGCCUAUGCAGUGACUUCCACUAUAGAGUCAUGCACCCUAAAUUACAGCCACCUAGUGUUGGUUACUGGGUUUGUAUCAUAUUCAAAAUGACCUUAUUUUCAGGAAACAGUUGCACUAUUUUCAAUUGAAUAUCAGGUGUAAACUAUUUGCAUCCCAUCAAAAUCAAUUUGUAUUUUCAUUUAUACAACAUCCCAGUAUGUACGGGACAUACGUAGACUGUAUAUACUAUGGACAACUUGGUUUCGCCUUUCGCCAGUAUAAGGAUUCGAAGCCAAAAAGCUCUUGCUGAUCCCGUGUUUUUUCUUCAUUUCCUGAAACCAACACUGUGGAGUAGCAGUGUACGCGCUUCACUGAGAGUCACUGUGAUGACGCUUGGCUCAAACAGCGUAUCCCUGGGUGAGCUAGGCAAUCUUCGUACGCCCAUAGGCUGAAUCAAGUGUCAAUCAUAGAAAAUAUGAACCCCUAAUAACUUUUAAAACUGGAGCUGUACAGAAAAAAGAGGACUCGAGCACAAACCAGUCUUACAGUAACUACAUGUCAACAUCGCAAGCAGGGGGGAGAAAAAAAUUUAUGUUCUGUGUAAUUAAUUUCUACAGUUUGUCCACAGCUCCAUAAGGAUGGCUGGCGGAGGCAGGAUUUAUGACCUAUACUGCAGCCUGUCACCAGAGGGUGCUGUUCUCAGAGUGGCUUCACCCAUCAAGGAGGCGGAUGGCAUCCAUUCUAUAUACAGUCUAUGGUAUAGGACAAGAUCAGCAAAGACGUAACAGCAGUGUUGUUUUCUUUGACAAUGACGUUGAUGAAAUAUUUUCAUCAAUGAAAUAUUUUCGUCAACGAAAACAACACUGCAGAAUAUAUGUUUAGCGUUAGACUGCUCAUGAAUUUUGCAACUCUGUUCAUCGUCCACCACUAAAGUUGUCCUCUAGUCAUGUCAACGUAAAAACACAUUUUAGUCAUCUAAGACUUAUGUUUAGCUCGUAAACGUCACGUCUUUGUCGUGUAAAAAAAGGGGUUAGUCAAUGAAAACAACACUGCGUAAUAGGUUUCAUUUUAUCCACAGGGGGCGCCAAAUUCAACACAAAUUGAAAGUUCCUUGCUAGAGCUUUAAGGAUGAUAAAAAAAUUCCUUGUUGCCAUCGAUGAUCUUUAAAAAAAAAGCUUCAUUUCUCAUCUCCAGCUGCACAGACUGUGCAGACUCAAUAUCAGCCCACCAUCAACACGUGAAUAGUAUUUUUAUCGGCAUAUGAAUUUUAAUUUGGGAUAUUCCCUGGCUCUUGUGCAUCUAGUGGGAGGACACAUUUACAUUUCAUGACAUUCUCAAUCCGAAGAGCGCAGCAUCUCCAUAACGUGUGGGUGAAAUAUGCAUGAUGCCUUUAUCAGUCGAAACACUGAUAAAACAAUGAAGAAGACAGUAUCCAGCCGUGUAAAAUCCAACCAAUGAGUGUCUGAGAAACACCAGGAGAGCUGCUUCUCUGCUGCUAGAAUGCAGCACGUUUUCUCCAGCUGUAUUGAUUUUCUGAGUUUGUGGUUGUACUCUAAAAAUAUUCCAACGGCUUUGUUCUCGAGAAGUAAAUCACCUUUCCUCACCUUUGAGCAGAACUUUAAGAAAGACACUCAUUGAAAGUAAUUUUCUUCAAUCUAGAUGUAAGAUUUCUGCCCAACAGCAGCCUUUUGUUGAGUCCUCCAGAUGGUCUCUGCAUGUGCUGUACUCUAUCACUGGGAGCUGCCUCUCUACAUGCUCUCUCCAUUGUAAUGCAUAUCUGCACGUGGUGCCUUUUAGCCCUGAGCUCUUUUCAUAGCAGAAUCGCUGUGUCUCAAUCAAUCUGACUUCCCUUUAUUCACGGUGACCACAGCUCGGUCCGGCUUUAACUACAAGCUUUUGUAGCCGGUUAUUCGUCUUCUGUCGGAGGAAACGUAACAAUGGAAGUUUCUGUAGGAACAAUGGUGAGGUGUGAUUGAUAUAACCAUCUGCCUGACUGGUCACCUUGAUGAAAAUUGAGUGGAGGAGUGUAAUAUGAAUGCUGAUCUGCGUCUAGAUUGUGUAAAGAAAGGUCCAGAUCACCGCAGGAGAGGUGCAGGUUUGUUCGUGGAAUGACUUGGCCGUCUCCCAGUGUCUGCAUGCACGUGUCUACUUGUGCAUUCAUGUGUAUUUCUUAUCUGUAAGCUGGAGUGUGAUGAUAGUGGCCUUUACACGCCUCUUCUGGGUGGUCAUUCUGCAGAUUAAUCUCACAGCUGAGAGAAAGGGUCGUGACCUCUGCUGUUUUUCUUUCAGGGGAGGUCACUCUGAAUCCGGGCUGUCUGCUUGUUUCUGAUGUGACUCAAAUAUACAAAGCUCUGUUCAGUCGACACCAUGUUUUUUUCUGAAUAUAGCUGCUCUUUCUUGAUUCAUAUCUUCAUUUUAAAACAUGUUCAGAACAAAGAAAACUAUUACAUAUAAAAUACAAACCAAAACAGCAAAUCUGCAAAGUCUGACACAAAGAAAACUGUUCUUGUUAGAUUUAUUUUGUGAUUUUAUCUUUUUCUCAAUUUCUACAGAAUGCUCAGUUUUGCCUGAGUUGAUUAAAUGUCGAAAUUAAAUUAAAUUAGAAACAGUCCUCAAGAUUUCCUGAUGACUAGACUACAUUGAUUUUAUUGCUUUGUGAAAACCCUGACACCCAAAGAUAAGAGCUUGAAAAUAAAAGAAAACAGAAAUAAAAAAUCAAGUGAUUUGGCAUUUUUGUCUCAGAUGAUAACUGAGUAUCUGCAGAUAGUGUCAGCUUUUCCAGAUUAAAUUCUUAUUGGUUGACAUUAAAACAUUGAAUAAUGAAUAAAAACUAAAAGUUCUUAUAAUAUACAUCUCUCUGGUACGACGGAGUAUUAGGGCCACAUUAAGAAAAAAAAUAAGACUUUGUAAUUACUUAUGAGAAUAAAGUCGUAGCUAAUAGCUAUUCUAACCUGUUGUUCGUUGUUUAAAUGAGCGCUUUGGAGCAUUUAGAUGAAUUGAACUUCAGUAGCUUGGUUUCACAAACAAGGAGAUACUAAAUCCUUUGGCGUUUCAGCAUCACAUUGUCAUAAGUAUCAGGACAAAUGCAAGAAAUGCAUCUUUUCCGCAGAAAGAACCAGGUCGGGAAUCGCUGUUUUUGAGGCUGAAAAUGUCUGUGUAGAGGCUAAAUCCCUUAAUGCAGCUGUUUAAAGCAAUCGCAUAUGUCUUUAGUUUAUCAUAUGAAUCUACUAUAUGCCAUAAGGUGUUGGUGCCUCUGCAGGUGUAGGUUGCUGCCGGUGUUGUACUGGCAUCAGAGACAGACAUGGUCGGACUCGUUGCAGCUUGACUUCCUCUGAAUCGCAAACGUUGAUCAUCAGUUGGAUUGUUUCUUGAGAAACCACAAAGGUCCUCUGAAUGACCCACUGAUGCACCCACUGAUAACUCUGCAGUUGACCAGUUCAGCCAUUUCCUUCUCCACAAAAGCAGCUUUAAGACUUCAUUUACUUUAUGACUUUAUUCUCGCAAGUAAUUAUUUUCCUGUGGCUUUCUUCUCGUAAGUAAUUACAAAGUCUUAAUUUCUUUCCUAAAUGUGGCCCUAAACUCCUUCGUACUCUGGCAUUCCAGCUAAAACCUUUGAGAAGUUUUGAGAAGCAUUGGCGGACCUGACUGCAGAGCGUCUGUGCCUUCUAAAAUAGCGCAAAAAGACUCUGACGAAUGACGAGUGCCCAGCGCUGCCACGUGCAUCAGAGUGUAAAGAUGCUAACAGCUCAUUUCAAACACAAGUUAAUGCAAAACUGGAGCAAACUGCAUGAAACUGCAGAUGUGGAUGGUCUGAGUGAGGUACAGGCCACCUCCCUCUGGUUUUUUUGUCCUCUGUUGCUGAUGAGUCUCGGUUUCACUGUAGGCUUUAAGCUACACAGAGGUUUCACAAUGGUAUAAUUAGCAGUUAGCAAAGAGGCUAAAGCCCAAUCCAAACUUAUGUUCUUUCCCUCUUAGGUAGAGGAAGCACUGUGCUUCAAAACUCUGAUCCAGAAACCAAUGGGUGAUAACAGUGAGUCUGAGUCCAUAUAUCUGUCCCUAAUACAGUGAAGACAUCUCCCAGUGAGACAUUUAUCCACCUAUCCCUCUUUUCUGGUCAUACAUAAUAAAAUUUUCUAAUAGAUCUCUUGAGAGUUGAGCUUCCUAGUUUUUUAAAAUCUACAUCUCUCUUUUUUUACACUUUUCCUAAGCGUCUGAGCAACCGUAUCUGCCUUCUUGCCUCAUUCCCCUCCAAUCACCUAAAUUAUUAAUGUUUUAUAUUAAAGCAUAUGAAUGCAUUAUUUAGCAAGGUCCUCUAGUACGCUGAUAAAGAGAAGCUUUCACACAGUUUACGGCUUUUCUUCUCCCUCGUCUUACAGCUUCGUAACCCACUUUAAUUCUUCCAUAAAUCACUAAAAUAAGGUUGUACAGCGGUUUAAAAAAAACUGCUCACACUGCACGCAUAAACAUUUGUGAGAUCUGAUAACUGUUCUGUUAAAAAGAUAACACUUUCUAAUACAAAUUUGUCUGAAAGGCGGUGUGGCAUGUUUCUCACAUCCUGUUUGUUUGACUCACGACAGCCUCUUUGGACCUUGGCUGCUCUGUGUCCAUGCAAACCCAGGAAGACGAGUGAAUAAAGACGAGGUGAGCUGUUCAUCUGAGCUGACACGAAUCAUUCAGAAGUCCAGUAGAAGUAAAGAUCCUGCAAAUCCACAACUCAUGACAUAAACCCCACAUAAUAUAAUCCCAUGUGAAAUUGUUAUGUCACCAAUUUGCCAGACAAUGAACCCUUUUUUUAUGCUACAUUGGAUUAGGACAGCUCAGGAGCUCUUAUGUAAUCUAUGGGAGCCUGCAUGCAGAGGCACAAUGACUGGGUUGUUUUUGCAUGAGGCAGCAGCCCUGAAAUAAUCUGGUUACAUAGGAGCAUGUCAAUCCAGAACUACAAGAUCUGCUUUUAGAUGCUACAAAUACAAACUGCACCAGUGUGCUCAUGUGUUGGAUUUCAUGUUUAUUUUGGUCCAGAUCUAAGGGUCUGGAUUUGAGGUAAUGUUAGGAGAUUACAUACUCUGAUGAUGUAAUAGAGCAAACAAUGUAAGAUCGUAAUCUCAAUAACAACAAUAUUCUCUUAAAUGGAGGGAUUUUUAUUUCUAAAUGAGCCUAAUCAGACCAAUCUUUGCCAUUUAAGUCCAACACAGGGGUAUAAAUGGAAGACUUUGAGUUUUUGUUUCAUGCAACUUUUGUACAUCUUCAAUAUUAAAUCUAAAAUCCAAUAUACAACUAAUUUUUUUUAAGUUGAAACACUGAUGUUUUGAAUGUAUUAACAAUCACAUAAGCGCCUGGACUCCUCUUUUAAAGAUCCAUGCUGUUGUUAUAAAAGCAGAAUAUAGUUUGGCAUUGUCUGGUAUAUUCUACACAAACAUUGCUUUUCCAUGCUAUGGGCAGAUGUGCAUCAAAAUACCAUUUCAGGAUCUUUGCUUUUGAACUACACUGAUAAAGAGAAACCAAACGGUUGCUCUUCUCUUUGGAGUAGAGGCUACAUUAUUUCCAAGAGGAACAUAAAAUUCGGAUUAGUUUGACCCCAGGAUAUUUUUACACUCUACUUCAGUCCAUCUUAAAUAGAAAAUCGCCAGUGUUUUCGGAUCAUGUAUUGUUUCGUCUUUGUAUGUUACAGUUAUCUGAGUUUUUAACCUGGUAAGAAACAGACUAAAACUGAUACUGAUGCCUCUUUAUGACCUUCAAAAGCAAAAAAUACCAUCAGCAACAAGUCUGAUAAAUUCAUCGUAGUAAAUAAAAUAGACAAAUAAAUAGCGGGGUUUAAAUCACUUGCAACCCAUCAAAAUCUGUCAUGUUACAGCUGUCUGUGUUUUUAAAGGCACUGUAAGGAGUUUUUAACCUGGUGUGAAACAGACUGAAACUGAUCCUGAUGCCUCUUUAUGACCUACAACAACAAGAAAUAUUACUGGCAACAAGUCUGAUACAGUCACCUCAGUAAAUUUUAACAUGAAAAAUCACUAUGAGGGAGGAGGUGUUGGACUAGAUGAUUGACAGCAGGCUGAGAAAACGUCUUUUUUUAAACAGCAAAAACUCAGAGUGAAUGAUAAAUUUAACAAAACCCUAACCCUAACCGUAACCCAAUAGAUAAGAAGUAUUACAACGUCCACAGGAGGUCCCAAAUCAGAAGUUAAAAGUUUCUCACAGCAACUUUGAGGAAACUUGUUUUCAGUUUCAACACCUGAUAUGUCGUUUUUGGACUAUUUUCAAUUAAAUAUCAGGGUUUAAAUGAUUGCAACCCAUCAAAAUGUGUUUUUAUAAACAUUUUAAACAGCAACUUAAGUUUUUUGGGUGGUCGGGGAUCUGGUUUCAUACGGCUCGCAACAAUUUCUAUGUCAGCUUUGAUAAAAAGUGCUUCAAUUUUUUCAGAAUUUUUUUAAUCUACUAAAAUAAACUUCCAGUCCUUUUUUAUCUACCCCCAGGCUAAAGCAAUUUUAUGUUUCUGGCUGAUGGAUCAACAAUGAAACAUUUUUAUGACCUGUUUAUUCGGUUUACACUCAUAGUGGAAGAACUUUUUGUCCCUCCAGCGUUCACAUGAUUUUGUUAAAGCGGGGAAACUAGAUAAAAACCAGCAGACAUCUCAUGACCGUUCUGAGGCAUCCCAAAGACAACAUUGUUAGUGUCCUGUAACACUUUUAUUUUUGUGCCAAACGCCCAGUAUUUGUAGUACAUCAUGCUGUGUUAUCCUGGCUUUGGGUUGCCCGGGGCAUGAGUGUGUGGAAAGCUAGCUUAGGUUGAACACCUCGUCCACAUGAGCUUUUGAUCCACUUUAUAACAAAUGCUGGGGCGGACAACAUUACGGAAAAACCGCAAAUCUGCUCGACAGACUUCCACACAGGCUUAAAGUGGCCUGUUUGAUUGAGUUCAGCGUUCAUUAGAUCACUUCUAUCUUUAGACUGAAGCUGUGAGAGCUGGAGGGAGUGAGAGAGACGUAUCGACAUGAGGCUGAAGGGAAGUAGAUCAACGUGUCGCCACUGCUGAUCAUGUAAUCUUAGUGAAUUUACAGCUUAAUACCCACGUUUGGCGGGACCUGUGCGCCAAAUAUGACCAAUUAGACUCUAAUCACGGUGUCAGGAAAUACUCAGUGUCAGGCUCGAGCCGGGAAAUCCUUUUUACUGGAAAGCAAACACCCCAAGCAUCUGGACAUUUACCAAGAAGUAGCCGGGUCACUAUUUGAAGCUGUUAAUCCUGAAAAAAACUAACAUUUCCAGCACGUUUGUGUCACGUUAAGUGUGAAGUUGAAAUUUAUCACUUCCCCUGCGAUAAUCCAGGCAGUCGACCAUAUUGUUUCACUCUGCAGCGUCAUUAAUCAAAGCGGGGGGAGAUCGUUUGCAGGGUGUUGUGACAGAUAAGAGCAUCAAAACAUAUGCUGCAGAGUUUUGCAAGAGGAAAUGCGCUUUAAACGAACACUUUAUGGAGUUUGCAUGAAUCUUAAUGAGAUCAUUAAUAUGAGAUAUGCAGACAGGGCACAAGUUAGAGUUAAACUUUGUUAAAUAAGAGAUGAUCUGAAGUUCUGAUGCUCCAGUGGAAGAGACUGAUACUUUCUUUUCUUGAGUCUCAUUGUCUUUGGUUGAUUUUGGGGGCAGUUGUCUAAUAGGAGAUUUUUUUAAAAGUACUUUGCAGUUUCAUAUUCUUUCAUUACAAAUCAACAUUUGUAUUCCCAGGUAUCUAAAAUUUAAAAAAUCUGCAAGAUUCAGGUUGUAGCAUGUUGACCCUGCAAAAAGCAAUUUACAGGACAUUUAAAUAAAAUUCAAAACAAUGAAGCUGAAAGAUAACACAGAGUAUAAGGGACAAACUGAAGCAAAACUCAAUGAGAAAGUCGUAAUGUGAAAACUGUGUGGAAAACUUGUAACAAUUUUUUAAAACUUAGACCUUAACUUUGGAAUUUCACCACUUUUGGGGGGGUAAAAAUGUGACUCUUCUCAUGAAACAAACACUUUAUUGAAGAGAUGAUUCAACUUUUUCUUACUUGUUAAGUCAUGACUCUGUUCUUGAAGUAAUUUAUUUUCUUUGCCACGCACGUCCUGUUGAAAAAAGAUGAAUAACUUAUAACAAACAUAGGAAAUGAUGAAAAAUCAUUAGGCAUACAGCAUGAUCAUGAUAAUAUAUAUAUAUAUAUAUAUUUGCAUACAAGUAGGGCUGGGAGAUAAAACGAUAAUAUAUAUCGAAAAUUAAUUUCCCUCAAUAUCAAUAUAAAACAUAGUCAAUAUCCUUUUUUCGAUAGUCGGCAUUCUGCAAUGUUUUGGUAGACUAUACAAAUAGCCAAUGAAAAGGGGAGUUUCUCCAGGUCCGCUUCAAGCUGAACCAAUCAUGUGCUGAGUUAGAACCAAGUAGCAAAUAACUGCAUAGUAGCAGGCUGCAGCUACACACAACUAUAGCACUUUAACACCAAAAACAGCCGACCAUUCAGUCCACUUUCUCUAGAGCAACGCCUUACGACAAAAUGUCAAAGAGACACAAAGACGUCACAGACGCAGUAGCUUAUUGAAUUGCAAAAGACAUGCUACCAAUAAGAACUGUUAAGUUUCAUUUUUUAUAUCGUGAUACAUAUUAAUAUUGACUAAUAUGAAAAAAAAUAUAUUGUGAUAAACUUUUUCCCAUAUCGCCCAGCCCUACAUACAAGUAACAACUGCAAACACAAACAAAAGUAACAAAGUCAGGUCUGAAUAAAUCGACCAAUUAUCUGUUGUUAACCUUAAAGAGCUAAAUAUGCAGCGUAUAGAUGAGUGAUCUACAACCUUUAAGACUUACAUUUUCGAAUAACUGAUGAAAGUUAAAUCUCAAUUUUUUGUUUCUCAUAUAAACUCUAUAGAGUAAAAUCACUUAUGUGUCAGUGAAACUAUUGCAGUGUGUAAAUGAACACAUUAAACACCGUUAACUCCACCUGUGUAACACACUGAAGAUUUCAUGAAAAGCUUUAUGGCCUGUAAAGUUUCUCUUACUUUCCCUGCUGAAAAGGAGCUUCUGGUGCUCUCUGAGGCCCUCCCUGCUCACUGUUGUCCCUCUUCUGAACGUGUGUGUGUCUGUGUGUGUGUGUAACCUUGACAGAGAAAGCUAAGCUUCAGUGAGUGCCUGCGAGCUCUGAGCUAUCUUUAGCUUCUGCUGAAGCUUUUAGCACUGGCCUUCUCCUCCUACACUUCCUACUCUUCCUCCUCCUCCGCUCCCCUCAGCCCACUCACUGUUGGCUGCACAUGCAAACAUGCACACUUAUGCAUGCUUGCACACAACCGCACUCAUACACACAUACGCACUCACGCGACUGGAACAUACAUAUGCACACUGCAGAACUGUUACCGGGCAGAUUAGAGGAAAGCAACCUACUUCUGGGAUGAAAACACGAGCCUGAUGUUUGUUUCUCUUUGCAGAGUGAGCGGCCGACUCCUGUUCCCUGUGCUGCCCUGAUUUCUGCCUGAAGGCAAGUCAUAACCAAGGGCCUCACAGGAGUCACCCCUGUGCCCCUAUUGGUCGAGAGUAAAUCAAAUUCAGUGUGAAGCGCUCUAACAGACCGAACGAACUAUUAAUAAAUUAGCUGCAAACCAAACUGUGCUUACACCAAUCAUCAUUUGCGUGUAAUGGCCCACUGCAUCUGAUUUAUAUUGCUUAUUAUGCACAUGAGCUACAGUAACUAGUAAUGGUGUG
rnacentral:lncRNA from 1 species